CAGCCGCCGCGGGAAUACGUAGGGUGCGAGCGUUAAUCGGAAUUACUGGGCGUAAAGCGUGCGCAGGCGGUUUUGUAAGACAGGCGUGAAAUCCCCGGGCUCAACCUGGGAAUGGCGCUUGUGACUGCAAAGCUAGAGUGCGGCAGAGGGGGAUGGAAUUCCGCGUGUAGCAGUGAAAUGCGUAGAUAUGCGGAGGAACACCGAUGGCGAAGGCAAUCCCCUGGGCCUGCACUGACGCUCAUGCACGAAAGCGUGGGGAGCAAACAGGAUUAGAGACCCCAGUAGUCCCUGUCUCUUAUAC
rnacentral:rRNA from 1 species